CCUACGGGAGACAGCAGUGAGGAAUAUUGGUCAAUGGACGAGAGUCUGAACCAGCCAAGUAGCGUGAAGGAUGACUGCCCUAUGGGUUGUAAACUUCUUUUAUAUGGGAAUAAAACGUUCCACGUGUGGGAUUUUGUAUGUACCAUAUGAAUAAGGAUCGGCUAACUCCGUGCCAGCAGCCGCGGUAAUACGGAGGAUCCGAGCGUUAUCCGGAUUUAUUGGGUUUAAAGGGAGCGUAGGUUGAUUGUUAAGUCAGUUGUGAAAGUUUGCGGCUCAACCGUAAAAUUGCAGUUGAAACUGGCAGUCUGGAGUACAGUAGAGGUGGGCGGAAUUCGUGGUGUAGCGGUGAAAUGCUUAGAUAUCACGAAGAACUCCGAUUGCGAAGGCAGCUCACUGGACUGCAACUGACACUGAGGCUCGAAAGUGUGGGUAUCAAACAGGAUUAGAUACCCCGGUAGUC
rnacentral:rRNA from 1 species